CGCUCUUUGAAUUAAAAUGAUAGAGAGUCGAACCUGCCCAGUGAUAGAUAUUUAACGGCCGCGGUACUCUGACCGUGCAAAGGUAGCAUAAUCAUUUGCCUUAUAAUUGAAGGCUAGUAUGAAUGGUUUGAUGAAAACAAAGCUGUCUCCUUUUAAUUUUAUAAAACUUGAUUUUUGGGUGAAGAAGCCCAAAUAAAAUUGAUAGACGAGGAGACCCUAUCGAGCUUAAAAAAAUUUUAUUAAAACAAAGUUGCUUAUAAAAGACCAGUUAUAAUAAAAAAUUUUAGUUGGGGCGACUAAGGAACAAUAAAGCUUCCAUUUUUAAUAUUAUAGCAUAUUAGCUAUGAUCCAAAAUCUUUGAUUAAAAGAAUUAGUUACCGUAGGGAUAACAGCAUAAUCUUUUUUGAGAGUUCUUAUCGAAAAAAAGGUUUGUGACCUCGAUGUUGGACUAAAAUAUCCUAAAAGAUGCAGAAGUCUUUAAGGGUUGGUCUGUUCGACCAUUAAUAUUUUACGUGAUCUGAGGCCAGACCGG
rnacentral:rRNA from 1 species